rnacentral:rRNA from 1 species
CCUACGGGUGGCAGCAGUGGGGAAUAUUGCACAAUGGGGGAAACUCUGAUCCAGCGACGCCGCGUGAGUGAAGAAGUUAUUCGUUAUGUAAAGCUCUUUCCGCAGGGAAGAAAAUGACGGUACUUGAGUAAGAAGCCCCGGCUAACUACGUGCCAGCAGCCGCGGGAAUACGUAGGGGGCGAGGGUCAUCCGGAUUUACUGGGUGUAAAGGGAGGGUAGGCGGGAGUGCAAGUCUGGAGUGAAAUGCGGGGGCUCAACCCCCGGACUGCUAUGGAAACUGUACGGCUUGAGUGCAGGAGAGGUAAGUGGAAUUCCUAGUGUAGCGGUGAAAUGCGUAGAUAUUAGGAGGAACACCAGUGGCGAAGGCGGCUUACUAGACUGUAACUGACGUUGAGGCUCGAAAGCGUGGGGAGCAAACAGGAUUAGAUACCCGGAUAGUC